GACGAACCGUGCGAACGUUGUUCGGAAUCACUGGGCUUAAAGGGCGCGUAGGCGGCCUGCCAAGUCCGGGGUGAAAGCCCCCAGCUCAACUGGGGAAGUGCCCUGGAUACUGGCGGACUCGAGGGAGGCAGGGGUUGUGGGAACUUCCGGUGGAGCGGUGAAAUGCGUUGAUAUCGGAAGGAACGCCGGUGGCGAAGGCGGCACUCUGGCACGACCCUGACGCUGAGGCGCGAAAGCGUGGGGAGCGAACGGG
rnacentral:rRNA from 1 species